AGCGUAGGCGGCUGAUUAAGUCAGCGGUGAAAGGUAGCAGCUUAACUGUUUUACAUGCCGUUGAUACUGGUUAGCUUGAGUUGACAGAAGGCAGAUAGAAUUCCUGAUGUAGCGGUGAAAUGCUUAGAUAUCAGGAGGAAUACCGAUUGCGAAGGCAGUCUGCUGCAGUCACACUGACGCUGAGGCGCGAAAGCGUGGGGAGCAAACAGGAUUAGAUACCCUGGUA
rnacentral:rRNA from 1 species